rnacentral:rRNA from 1 species
UACGUAGGGGGCUAGCGUUGUCCGGAAUCAUUGGGCGUAAAGAGCGUGUAGGCGGCCCGGUAAGUCCGCUGUGAAAGUCGGGGGCUCAACCCUCGAAUGCCGGUGGAUACUGUCGGGCUAGAGUGCGGAAGAGGCGAGUGGAAUUCCUGGUGUAGCGGUGAAAUGCGCAGAUAUCAGGAGGAACACCAGUAGCGAAGGCGGCUCGCUGGGCCAUUCCUGACGCUGAGACGCGAAAGCUAGGGGAGCGAACAGG